rnacentral:lncRNA from 1 species
AUGAAAUGCCCAUCCAGAAACCUGCAAUUUUAUUUGAAUUGUUUUUUUGUUUGUUUGUUUUUUCCAAACAGCAACAACUUCAAUAAAGCCUCUUUUGGGAGCACCACCAUGUUUCAGGCACUAUCCAGUUGCAUUUUUCAGGGCUCUGCAUGCCGAGCCAACCUGCUGCUUCUCGUGCCAUCCUCCUCCGCCCUCCUCAGGUGCCAUCAUCCUGCAGCAGACUUGGAUGCUCUGCAGGAAUGGACUCCUCACUGGAAUUCCCUUCAGGUGCAUGCGUUUCUCAAGAUUCUCCCACACUGUUCCUGUUGCCUGAAUAGCUGUUAAAUUCAUUUUUACUGUUGUAUGCACUGCAAGGUGUAAAUGCAUCCAGACGGAAGCAUCUUUUCAAUAUUAUGACAGGAAAACCUUAUUUUAUUUUCUCAAGUGUAUCUUGGCUAUUCUUCAGUCUUUGUUUUUCCAUAUACAAGUUAGAAUUAACUUGUCAAGGAGUUCCCUUCCCGUCGUGGCGCAGUGGUUAACGAAUCCGACUAGGAACCAUGAGGUUGCGGGUUCGGUCCCUGCCCUUGCUCAGUGGGUUAAUGAUCCGGCGUUGCCAUGAGCUGUGGUGUAGGUUGCAGACGCGGCUCGGAUCCCGCAUUGCUGUGGCUCUGGCGUAGGCUGGUGGCUCCAGCUCCGAUUGGACCCCUAGCCUGGGAACCUCCAUAUGCCGCGGGAGCGGCCCAAGAAAUAGCAACAACAACAACAACAACAACAACAAAAUUAACUUGUCAAGUUUCACAAAAGAAAAAAAAACACUUUUGGGAUUUUUGACAGGUAUUAUCUUGAAUCAAUGAGUAAAUUUUUGAAGAACUGAAAUCUUUAUCAUUUUAAAGCUUUCUGUCCUAUUCUGAAUGGGUAACAGUUCUCUAAUUAUAUAGCUCUUUCCUAUUGUUCUUUGAUAAAGUUUUAUAUUUUUUCAUGUAGAUGAGCACAUUUUUUGUUAAUUUAAUUCUUUUGUUUGUUUGUUUGUUUUUGCUUUGUCCGAAGCAUGCAGAAUCUUAGCCUGAUAUUUUCAAAGACUUGGAACCACUGAGUCAGUUUUUUUCAAUGGUCAUUCAUGCUUUAUAUUUCUUUUUAAUAUAAUUUGGAAUGUAAUUGUGUGAAAUAACUAACAUAGCAGGCCUGAGAUUGCUUUCCUAACAAAGGUCAACUUGCAUGAUUAGCCUUUGCCUGAUAUCUGAGAACAUGGAUUUGGGAAAAGUUUCCACUUUUUCCCAACCUGAUAAGAGUGAAAUAGCUCUUGCCCAAGCUAUUUGUAGAAACAAUAUGGUUUGAGCCAAUCACCCGCCUUCCUUCUAGAGUCUGGAAUUUGGGGAGAUGCCAGGCAGAGAGUACCUGUAUGACCAGUUCCCAGUGAAAACCUUGGGUACGGAGUCUCUCCAAGGCUUGCCUGGUAGACAGCACCUCACCUGUGUGGUCACAGCUCUUCCCUGGAGGGAUGUCUGACUCCCCUGGGGGAGGAUGCUCGGAAACUUGCGCUAGUUGCCUCCUCCCUCACCCCAUGGCCUCUCCCUUCUACUCGUUUUGCUUUGUAUCCUUUUGCUGUAAUAAAUCAUAGUCAGGAGUGUGACCGUAGGCUGAGUCCUGUGACUUGUCCUAGCAAAUCGUCAAAGCUGGGGGUGGUCUUGGAGACCCCUAACACAGCAAUAAUUUCCUAGAAAAUUUCCUGUUGAGCUACAGUUUCUGAUUUACUGUUGUAAGUGUGUUCAUAGUACUCAGGAGGUUUUAAUGUCUCUUAUAAGUAAAUAGUGUUGCUUUUAUGUUAAUUAUUUCAUAUUUAAUGUUAUUUAUUUGGACUUUUUUAUUUUUUCCUAAUUAAACUAUAGCAGUUCAUCCAUUUCCUAAAUCUUUUUAAAGAAACUUCUUUUGGAUUUGUUGAUUCCCCUCUGUUGCAUCUUUGCUUCCUAUCUUAUUGCUGUUUGUUCUUAUAUGUAUUAUCUUUCAUUUUCUUUGGCCUUAUUCUUUUGUUUUUUAUCUAAUUUAAGACUUACCCUUAAUUAAUUAAUUAAUUAUCAGCCUUUUGUCUUCUGACACGAAUAUUUUGAACUAUACAUUUCUUUCUAAAUUCCUUUAAUGACGGCCACAAGUUUUGAUUUAUAAUAUUUUCAUUACUAUCAAGUUUCAGUCAAAGUUUUCAACAGUAUUUCUUCCUGGACUAUUAAAUAUUUCUAAGUGUGUGUUUUAGUUUGUACAUAUAUGUGAUAUUUUUGUGUAUUUUGGUUCUUAAUUCUUAAUUAAAAAAUUUUUUGGAGCAAAUAGUGUAUAGAAUACCAAUUCACUAAAUAAAUUUUUUGGUAACUUAGGUCUAGUUUAUGUUCAAUCAUUUUUAAAGUUUCAAGGUGUUUACAAGAAUAUUUCUGUAUAAUUUUCAGG